rnacentral:rRNA from 1 species
GACGUAGGGCGCGAGCGUUGUCCGGAUUUAUUGGGCGUAAAGAGCUCGUAGGCGGCUUGUUGCGUCGUUCGUGAAAUCCCGUGGCUCAACUGCGGGCUUGCGGACGAUACGGGCAGGCUAGAAUUCGGUAGGGGAGACUGGAAUUCCUGGUGUAGCGGUGAAAUGCGCAGAUAUCAGGAGGAACACCGAUGGCGAAGGCAGGUCUCUGGGCAUUAACUGACGCUGAGGAGCGAAAGCAUGGGGAGCAAACGGG